AUCUACGGCCAUAGAAUCCAGAAAGCACCGGGUCUCGUCCGCUCCCCGCAGUUUAAGAUGGGUAUCGCUCGGUUAGUACCAAGGUGGGGGACCACUUGGAAAUCCCGGGUGCUGUAGUUU
rfam:Cryptococcus dejecticola CBS 10117 unplaced genomic scaffold supercont1.4, whole genome shotgun sequence.